GACGAACGCUGGCGGCGUGCUUAACACAUGCAAGUCGAACGGAAAGGCCCUGCUUUUGUGGGGUGCUCGAGUGGCGACCGGGUGAGUAACACGUGAGUAACCUGCCCUUGACUUUGGGAUAACUUCAGGAAACUGGGGCUAAUACCGGAUAGGAGCUCCUGCUGCAUGGUGGGGGUUGGAAAGUUUCGGCGGUUGGGGAUGGACUCGCGGCUUAUCAGCUUGUUGGUGGGGUAGUGGCUUACCAAGGCUUUGACGGGUAGCCGGCCUGAGAGGGUGACCGGCCACAUUGGGACUGAGAUACGGCACAGACUCCUACGGGAGGCAGCAGUGGGGAAUAGUGCACAAUGGGCGGAAGCCUGAUGCAGCAACGCCGCGUGCGGGAUGACGGCCUGCGGGUUGGAAACCGCUUUCGCCUGUGACGAAGCGUGAGUGACGGUAAUGGGUAAAGAAGCACCGGCUAACUACGUG
rnacentral:rRNA from 1 species